CAGACAGAUCGUCUUACAUGACCGGCGAAAUAUACAGAAUGUAGGGAUAAGCGCUAUCAACUAUGCAGUCGUCGUCAAGCAGCGAGUUCUAAAAAACAUCGAUUCGCCUUCGGUCCGUUAUUUUACCUACACAACACACAUAAAAAGGUGGCAUACGUGAUCAUAGGCGCGAACGGUCGCGAAACCCGAGCGUGGUGAGGGUCGUCUCCAAGAGAAGACAAAGGAAAGAAUCGAAGGGCAAUCAGUAUCACGCGAGGAGUCAAACCGAAUGCACCGGGAGGUUCAGAGAAAUAAAAUCACGGUCGCUUAGUCAAACGAAUACGUCGAGAAAUAUUAUAAAGUCGCCUCUCGCUGACGCGUUUCCUCGCGAUCGCGUCUCUUCGCGAACGAUCGUAACGAACAGAAAGGAUUAGAUUGCGUAGAAACUUCAAACAAUGAAUUGUCAACAUGAGGCAAUGAGGAAAACGAUUUUGCGUUUACACGAUACAAUUUGAUCUUUCGUAGUCGAAUAAUUUCCUAUGCAAUUCUACGCUGCUUUCGGUAAGCUGAUAUCAGCACGGUUUGCCGAGUCCAUAAAUUAAGCAACGAAUUCGAUUUGUGCUCUUUGAUAAUCCCUUCAUUGCCAUACGACAGACUUGGUCAUUAUAACUUUACCGUGCAUUUGCGUAUCGCACCAAACACAUUAUACCAUAUUGCGAUAGAGAGAUACGUUGUUAUUUCUUUAAAUGUAGCAAGCUUAUGGUUAAUGGAAACGUUCACCCAUACAUUCCCAUUUCUGCAUAUAUUGGACAUUUUAAUCACAGGUAAAAUGCUUAAUUAGCAUCUAAUAAUUACAAAAUGUGCAAUGUAAUACUUGUUAAGCAUCUAAUUCAACAUCGCAAUUAAGUGUAACAUAUGCAAACAAUACACUAAACGGUCGUUAAGGCGCAUAUUUAUUUACGAAUUGCUGUGUAUAACAUAUCCGAUCAACAGGAUGAUUGAAAGUAUUCGUCGAUAGGAAAUAAUUUUCCGUUCAAAGAGAAAGAGAGAGAGAGAGAGAUCAAUUCAUCCGAAACUCUGCUGUUUCCCUUGGGUUUUUCUCGAAAAAGAUGUUACAGAAUAACAAAUGUUCCCACGAGCUGAAUCAAGUCACCUAGCCGCGUUUCUUUGUCAUCUCAGGAAUUGCAAAGCAGACGUAAAACCGUCGCCGACGGGUUAUGGCUUAAUAGGGCCGCUUUGUACUUGUCGCGAGGGGAAGUAAAAAAAGGAGAAAACAGCUAUUCCACUCCCAGAGUGACAAGCAAAAACGAGAACGAACAGUUGGGUGAAGGAGGGGAGGGACGAAGGUCGAUAGCUGGUUAUCACAUCGCGAACAAGUGUUAGUAAAAAAGGAUCUGGCAUGAGAAGAAUCAAAGUGUAAGAGUAAAAUAUAAUUUACCUACUUUUUUUACUUUUAAUAAUCUAUGAUAUGUAUAACAUAUGUAUACAAUAGUAGGUAAUUCCAUAAGUAAUCUUGUGAUUAUAUAUAUGAUUUUAAGAUGUCAAAGGUAGUAAAAAUUUGUUGACACUGGAUCUACAAAACAUUUAAUAAAGAUAACAUGGUAAUUUUUCCAAUUAUUGUAGUAUAUUAUUCUAUUACUUCCAGCUAGAAAUUGCAGUGCUUUCUCGUUUGAUCUUACUAUGCAAAUUGAACAUGUAAAAUAAAAGCUAACAUUGCUUAUGGAAUGGCUUUUGGUAAAGUACUAUGUAUAUAUUUAGUAAAAUAUCAUGUUGUAGAAUAAAAGUAAGAUAAAGUAGAUAAUGAGUUAUGAACAUGAUAAAAGGGUAUUCUUCUGACUUAUGCCGUUAAGAUGGAUGGCAUAAUCGAGUAAAGUGGUUUUAGCUCGAUAAUCGGAUUAGCACAUUCUUUUCCCGCUUAUAUAAGUAAUAGAACAUGGCGUGCAUGUUUAAGGGAAUAAAACAAACGCCAAGAAGCUUUAGAUUACCUACAAGUACAUAAGAAAAUAAAUUUAAGGAGACUUAACGGACUAUAUCUAUAUUUUAGGAUGGAGUGUGUAAACACUAAACGUGUUUUCUGAAUAAACAAAGUACUAAGCAUCUCGCUUCUAGUCCAUUUCGAUAGCUUUUGCUUUCGUACACAGCCGAAGGUUGCUUUGAAGCAUAUAUUUUUCCCCCUCAAUUUCAGAUUCCAUUUAAAACGCACAAAGUGAUUUUGAAAUAACUUUAGAAGCAUGAGGAAACAACGUUUCUCUCUACCAAUGUUAAAUUCUAGGAAACAGUAUGUGAGAAAAUAUUAUUUUUCCCGUAUAUUAUAACUACGAUUAUUAUCGCAUAACGAAUCAAAAAAUUAAAUCAACCUUUAACUACA